GGCUUCUUAGUGCAGUGGUCAGCACGCUCGGCGCGUAACCGACAAGUUCGUGGUUCGAGUCCCGGAGAGGGCA
rnacentral:tRNA from 1 species